UACGGAGGGUGCAAGCGUUGUUCGGAAUCAUUGGGCGUAAAGGGCGUGUAGGCGGUCCGGUAAGUCGGGUGUGAAAGCCCUGGGCUCAACCCAGGAAGUGCAUCCGAAACUGCUGGACUUGAGUACGGGAGAGGGAAGUGGAAUUCCUGGUGUAGGGGUGAAAUCCGUAGAUAUCAGGAGGAACACCGGUGGCGAAGGCGACUUCCUGGACCGAUACUGACGCUGAGGCGCGAAAGCGUGGGGAGCAAACAGG
rnacentral:rRNA from 1 species